UACAGAGGGUGCAAGCGUUAAUCGGAAUUACUGGGCGUAAAGCGUGCGUAGACGGUUAUGUAAGUCGGGUGUGAAAGCCCCGGGCUCAACCUGGGAAUUGCAUUCGAGACUGCAUAGCUAGGGUGCGGAAGAGGGAAGCGGAAUUUCCGGUGUAGCGGUGAAAUGCGUAGAUAUCGGAAGGAACACCAGUGGCGAAGGCGGCUCACUGGCCCGGUACUGACGCUGAGGUGCGAAAGCGUGGGGAGCAAACAGG
rnacentral:rRNA from 1 species